rnacentral:misc_RNA from 1 species
UUUAUUUUAUAAAUUAACUUAUAAAAUAUCAUCUUUAUUCUACGUUCACGGAAAAGGAAAUUAUGGAACCAUAUUAAGUUAUAUAAUUCCAUCGAUUCAUAAAGAGACAAAGGCCACCAUUUACAGCGGGACGCAACAAAUUAAUCGGUGAGAUCGAUGCGAUCGAUACAUACAGGUAUUUUCGGCAUGGAUCGUGAUUAUUCGUCGUGCAUGCGUACAAUCACAGCGUAUAGGAACGGCCGUGAAAAGUAAACGUCAAUCGUGGUUGACAAUCGGAACUCGACGCACGAAUCCUCAGCGCCUCCGGUCUCGAUCGUUCGCCGCUCAUCGUCAGUCGGCGAUCGGCGCUCGUGCUGUUUGUAUCGUGUUUACGGGUGUCUCGAAUUCGUGAUCGCAUGUAUUUAUCGCCGCAAGUAUUCCUGUGAAUAUUUCAAAGUGUCGCGAGGUGUCUUAAAAUUGUAAAUUCUUAUUUUUAAUAGAACAUUUUAUUUUUGAUCUCUAUCGUUAUACUUUUUAUUCUCGUAAAAAAUCGUAUCGAACGAUAAAUUGGCCGACAUUCUUAAUCGUGAUACACAUCGAUUAUCUUAUCGUGGUCUAUACGGAAAGAGAAAAAAAAAAGAGAGGUGUAGUUCUCGUUGUGGCGUUACUGCGAGUGUUACGCAAUCGUCACGACCAACCGGUAUAAUGAAGUCGAAGACGAGCGAAAAUUUUAUUGCGAGUGAAAGUAACGGGGUCAAGAGGGACCAGGAACUCAAGCAGAAACAGCUGAAAAGGGGUAAAACAUUCUGCCAGUCUUGUAAGAAGAAGUGCAGCGGGGAGGUACUACGAGUGCAGGACAAGUAUUUCCACAUAGGGUGUUUCAAGUGUGCUCAAUGUAACGCGAGCUUAGCGCAGGGUGGUUUUUUCGCGCGCGAGGGCUCUUACUAUUGCACCAAGGAUUACAGGGAACGGUGGGGAACAAAGUGCGCGGGCUGUGGAGAAUACGUGGAGGGCGACGUGGUCACUGCCGGAGACAAGCAUGCCUUCCAUCCCAACUGUUUCCACUGCCAACGAUGCAGACAACCGUUACUCGGACAGGGGACCAAGGUUUCCCUCGUCCAAGGUCAAGCUCUUUGUCACCGAUGCGUCGGUAUCCCUGUCCGAGAGGCCUCGACGCCAAUCGGGAAUAGCUCCGCCACCCGAGGAUCCGGAGACGGGCCCUCCGACCCCGGUGCCUGCGCUGGUUGCGGAAACCAAUUACGAGAAGGUCAGGCUUUGGUAGCUCUCGAUCGACAGUGGCACGUAUGGUGUUUAAAAUGUCACAGCUGUGACACCGUCCUUCAUGGAGAGUAUAUGGGAAAAGACGGGGUGCCUUAUUGCGAGAAGGAUUACCAGAAGUUGUUCGGUGUGAAAUGCGCCUAUUGCAAUCGUUACAUCAGCGGAAAGGUGCUGCAGGCAGGUGACAAUCAUCAUUUUCACCCGACUUGUGCCCGUUGCACCAAGUGUGGCGAUCCUUUCGGCGAUGGAGAGGAGAUGUAUUUGCAGGGCGCUGCCAUUUGGCAUCCCCGUUGUGGCCCGGGUCCUAGCGGACCCAACGGUAUCGUGAACGGCCACGGAGAAGCUCACACGCCACAGCAUCGAGAAUCAGAACGGAUUUCCAGCAGCGCAUCGGAGAUGCAGUUUUCAUUGCGGUCACGCACGCCAAGCCUGAACGGAUCACUCUGCAGCCCUUACAGCAGCCUCAGUCGCAAGUAUUACCCCGCGCGAACUGGAAGUCCCGGAUUGAUAUUGCGAGAAUACGGACGUGGUCCAUCCGAAGAUGUGUCUAGGAUUUAUACUUAUUCGUACUUGACCGAAACGCCUACCCAAGGAUACUUGAGACGUCCGAUACAGCCGUACGACAAACCUCCGACUAGCCCACACUUUCAUAGACCUAGCUCGUCACGUUCGAUAAGAAGCAGUGGCGGACGCAGCAGCCGAUCUGGAAUGCGUGCUCUGGUCGAUGCUCUCAGCGAGACCAGACCAAAGUCACCGGCCAGUCAAGUAGAUAAUGACGAGCCAAUAGAGUUGGCGCAUUAUCCGGACGCCAUGAAACCUCCUCCUGGAACCAAACCGCCGAUCGAGAGAGAUGAUUUUCCCGCUCCACCUUAUCCUUAUACAGAUCCUGAAAGACGUAGACGAUGGUCCGACACUUAUAAGGGAGUACCUGCAUCCGACGACGAGGACGAAGUGGAUAACAAAACUUAUAUAAAGGAGGUGGAGGAGAAGUUGAAGAAAGAACAAGACGAGCUAAGCAAAAUCGAUACUGGAAUAGCGAAAGUGUUUUUGCAAGAUCGUGAAAAGGAUCGAGAGAAUUUGAGACACAGAGCCGCGAACGUUGAUCCUAGAAAUGCGUCGAGAACGCCAUCAGCUGCCAGAGAACCGACUUAUAGAUUGCGAUACGAGAGUCCAGUUGGCGCUUCGCCUUCGAGAAACAUAGAUCACGCCAGACCGUGGGAGGACGAUGAUGGUUUCAGUUAUAGAUCUAGCGUAGGACCUAGUUACAACGUUGGGAGGUCAUCGGCACGUUCCCCGGCUCCCAGAAACUAUCCACCCCUUGGUACUCAACGCGCCUUCACUCUUCCAAACGCCGCUAGGCACUAUCAUUCGUUGUGAGCUCCCUUCGGCACAUCCCGAAGCCAGGGUACGGUCUGGCACCGCGAAGUCACACCUUCUCCUCGACCGGCGGUUCUGUAUCUGCUCUCCCUGGUGAUUAUUCGUUCAGUGGGAUGGG